GUGCUCACUUCAGCAGCACAUAUACUAAAAUUGGAAUGAUACAGAGAAGAUUUGCAUGGCCCCUGUGCAAGGAUGACAUGCAAAUUUGUGAAGCAUUCCAUAUUUUU
rnacentral:snRNA from 1 species